AUAAAAUGUGUGUGUGUACAUGUAUAUCAUUAUACGAGCGCAUUAGACAAACAUUAUACUUAAUCACGCACUAGAUCAGUGCUGAUGACGAAUAUAUAAAACUGUAUUUAGAUAUGUUUUACACCUGGUCAAUGGGGGAAAUGCAUAUAAAUGAUACAUUGUCGCUGUGUUGUUGGAGCAGCCACUAUGCCGGUAACAAUUUUCCUUUUGUAUUUUACAGACCAAGUGUUGAAAUACCUCACAGAGAGGACAUAUGAUAACUAUGGUUUAAACAACUCCCAGAUCAGGUUGCCAGGGUCUGGAUUCAAAAAUUAACGUUGCGGAAAGACACGGGCUUAGGAUGUGAUAAUAAUCCAGCUCAGAUUUCAAGAUAUCACUUGCCGGAUUCGUUUCGAGUUGUGAUGUGUCAUAGCCAGCUUUGUUUUGUAGAUCCACAUAGUCACGAUCACGGGACACACACACCUUCCCACCUGCGUCAUAUUGAAUUCUUAGUGGAACAAAAAUAACAGUUAAAACUUAAUACACAACUAUCCACAAGCACCAAACGCCUAGAGUUUGAGGAUUUAAAAAAACAUGGAACAUGGAAUAGGACAGUUGGUGUUGGUGUGAGUCAAAUCUUUUCACGGGUAGGCGGUAUCAUGGCACCAUUGGUUCUGUUGAUGCGCCGCGUGUCUCUUCCUGUUGCCGGAGACCAAAGGGAGACCACUGGAGGACACCUUAAAAAAGAAAGCGAAGGUCGAGUUUGUGGAAAUCCCCAAGCACGAGGAGGGCAGAUCGUUCGAGGCUAACAUCCCCGAAACAGAAACAAUAUCGUUUUUGUAGGGAAGCAGGCUGAUUUUUGCCCGAAUUAAAUAAACGUGCCCGAAUCUG